rnacentral:rRNA from 1 species
UACGUAGGGGGCGAGCGUUGUCCGGAGUUACUGGGCGUAAAGCGCACGCAGGCGGUCUGUUAAGUUUGGAGUGACAGUUGGUGGCUUAACUGCCAAAGUGCUUCGAAAACUGACAGACUUGAGGGCUUCAGAGGGACACGGAAUUCCGGGUGGAGUGGUGAAAUGCGUAGAGAUCCGGAGGAACACCAAAGGCGAAAGCACUCUGCUGGGCCGACACUGACACUGAGAGACGAAAGCUAGGGGAGCAAAUGGG